ACGAACGCUGGCGGCAUGCCUAACACAUGCCAGUCGAACGAUGCCUUCGGGCAUAGUGGCGCACGGGUGCGUAACGCGUGGGAAUCUGCCCUUGGCUUCGGAAUAACAGUUAGAAAUGACUGCUAAUACCGGAUGAUGUCCCCCUGAGAGAUCUUGGGGACCAAAGAUUUAUCGGCCAGGGAUGAGCCCGCGUAGGAUUAGGUAGUUGGUGGGGUAAAGGCCUACCAAGCCGACGAUCCUUAGCUGGUCUGAGAGGAUGAUCAGCCACACUGGGACUGAGACACGGCCCAGACUACUACGGGAGGCAGCAGUGGGGAAUAUUGGACAAUGGGGGGAACCCUGAUCAAGCAAUGCCGCGUGAGUGAUGAAGGCCUUAGGGUUGUAAAGCUCUUUUACCAGGGAUGAUAAUGACAGUACCUGGAGAAUAAGCUCCGGCUAACUCCGUG
rnacentral:rRNA from 1 species